GUGCAGCGCCCCCACAGGCCAGGAGGGGAACAGGUUGGUUUGACUCAGAGAACCACAGCAGCUGCAGGUGGAGCAGAUGGUGAAGUUUCGGUCCCAAUUGAACCAAAUCUACUGGACUAUCAGUUUUUUGUCAGAAACUCCUAUAAAACACUAAGCAGCAGAAACAAAGUCAUAUUUCACCCUAAUGUGGUUCAAAUGACAAGAAAAGCUUGAAAAAUUAAGUUAAUGUAACUUUUUAUUCCCAUGAAGACGCUAAAAAUAAAUCAAAAAUACCCAAAAACCCGACAAGUUCGGCAUUUUGGUGCAGCUGAGGACGACAACUGAGAACUUUCCAACAAAACAUCAACGGCUUGAAGCAGUUUUUUAUGCCAUUGAUUCCUGCAUGGAGUGUGUGCGCGUCAGUAAAAUGUGUGUCUGACAACAUGUGAUUUCCAUCACAGCCUUGGAGCGAAUCAGAGCGCCGCUCAAAGCCGCCUGUUGGCUGCGGCCAAAUAGUUCGGCUCAGGAAUGCAUCCGGGAGCGUUCACAUCUGCAGCAGGAACUGACAAUGUGUGUGCAACAGAGGUCCUUAUAAACCCGACUGUCCUCACAAGGACAAGAAGGCAGCAAGAAUAACUGAGGUCAUUUCAUUGGGAAAAGGCGUGUAAGGCGAUGUAAGGUAUAAACUGUAAUCGUUUUUUAUUAUUUAGCAGUUAAGAUCAGGUGUUGGGAUCAAGAACUGACAGGAAAAUGUGGUGAUUAGGAAGGAUUGCUAUACUUAAAACAUGUUAAAACAUGUUACAGGAACAUAAUUGGAGUGACUAAUGAUAAUAAAACACAGACAUAUUCAAUUAAAAACAUAAAUACAUCAUUUGGUUAGAGCUGUUGAUCCAUACAAAGCAAUGGUGUCUCCAACUUAGAGCCAAAGAAAUAAUUAAAGCUAAUCCUACAAGAACAGCCAAGGUCUCUUUGGGAUUUUGUUUAUUAGUCAACAUGUUGAUAAAAUGUUAUUUUUAUUUAUUUUAGCAGGAUGAAGAUGAAUGAAUGUUUUUAUUUUUUCUUAAUGGUGAUUUACAACACAAUAAUAACUAAUUUUUUAUGUGUACAAUUCAUGAUUAGUAAAUUUUGAGUGUUGAAUCUUCAUCUAGGAUUCUUGUUAGCUUAGCAGUUUAAUGCUAAGGUAACAUGGCGUUAGCUUAGCAUCACCUAAUGUGUGGCACCAAACACACAACAACCAGACAUCUAAAUUAGAGAUGAACUAAUACCUGAAAAACAAACUAAAAUGUCAUUAGGAGGUUUUUCUGUUCACCAAACUCAACAGUUUCAACGAUUUUCAGACAAAAUACAAUCUAUUUAAUAUUCACAGGCUGAAAGUAAAUCCAGACUAGCUUGGGUCUUUCUGCAAACACAAAGAACGGCAUGAGCUAUGCUAUGCUAACUGCAGUUUCAAAUCGUUUUACUGAACAAAGUGCAAAAGUUAAUCGUCACUUGUUAGUCCAACACAACAUUUUAGGGGUAAAAUAUAACAUAAUUCUUUGCUAAGCUAACAGAGGACACUCAGGCUUAGCUAACAUGGUAAAAAAGUUAGCCUAGAAUUAGCAAAGCUAGCAUAAUAUAUCCAAACCACAGAGUUACCACAGCACUCAGAUUGUACAGAUAAAUUUCUAACUUAUCUGUAGAUAUUAUGUAACAUAAUUUGGAACAGAAAUAACUGUUGUUUGAAAUAGUUUCAGCUAACAUAGCACAAAAGCUAACAAGACGUAACCAGAACAAAAUGUUAAAAUUUAGCACCAUUCGGGUCAAAGCUAGCUGCAGUUUGAUACAUUUUUGGUAACAAGCUGUAACCAUGACUACCAUUACAGCAUCAGACCAACACAACAUUUUAGAGAGAACAUUACAUAACUUUGCUAAGCUAACAAACAGCUCAGAUUCAGCUAGCAUGGCCCAAAAUUUAGCCUAACAUUAGCAAAGCUAACACGAUAUAGCCAAAGAUGAAAGCCAUAAGUCAGAAUUAGAGCUAGAAAACAAAACUAUGACAUAAUAAAGCAAAUUUAGCAGAAACUACAUAAAAUUGGAGCAUAGAUGUCUGUAAUUACAAAAUAAAUUAAUAUACAGAAUAUAACUAAAGCAAUAUAAAAUGAAUUUAUGUCCAGUUUUGUGCUAAAAACAACUUUUAUGAAAAGAGCCUCUGCAGAGAGAGCACACAUACACAAAUUAUUCACUCCAACACACACAAACGGAUGCCUUGUAAUUCAAUUAGCCAGCUUCCCAUCUGACACAAAAUGGCGGCUGUGGCGUAGCAGUGUGGGACAUUUUGGGGAUGAAGCCAAGAAAACUGCUGAGCGCCUAACACGAGCGAACGACACGUCAAUCUACGGAAACGUUUCCGACAUUUCUCCAUUAUUUCUGCUGCUUCCUUCACGUGUUAAAUGACCAACAUGAAUUUAUACGUUUAGAUGAAUUUCAGGAGCUUUUUUAUGAGAAAUGAUUCAGUGAAGCAUCCAGAAAACAGAGCAGAAAACACAGCUGUCCGGCUGUGUGUGUGUGUGUGUGAGAAGCAUGAGGUCAUUCCUGGCUGAACUCUCUUUGGGGCUCUUCUGUAUAAACAUUAACGCGGCCGCAGCUUUCACACCAAAUCCAAGUUUGUCUGAAAUCAGAAAUCUGCUGAAAAACAUUUGAUUUAAAAGCUAAAGCUGCAAAGAAAUCAGCAGCAGCAGAAACCAGAGGACCUAAUUCACACGUAUGAGAAGUAGAGUCAAUAAUUAAUGCUAAAUAUGUGCAGUAAUGUUUAUUCUGUAGGGAACAGUUUUUGUGCUGUCUGCAGGCGGGUCCGCUCCUCUUUUCUCAUGCCAUCCCGUGCCAAGGCCGGCUGCGGCGCUGCUAAUUUCAGCUGCAUGCUAACACACAAACAUGCGUCAUUUCAGCACCACUUCACUCUGGAGGAGCCGAGGUCAUUCUGCAGCGGACGGAGCAGUUCAGAGAGAAAUCUGUGUUUCUUUCUGCAGCAGCAUCAAACUGAACUGGAAUCGUUCAGACCAACGGGCAGAAAUAACAGGAUGCCAGAUGAUUCAGGCAACAAUAAGCUGCUCUAAAUUCCUCUUCCUGUUUCUGCACAACAAUCCGGCGCGCAGUGGAAGAACGGACCUCAGAUCCAACCGGCUCCGCUGGGAGUCAGGAGGAAAACCCAAACUGCAGCUCAGACUGGAAACGUCUCUUCAGACUCAGCUGCUGUCCCAGGGGCGGCCUGCGGGGGGCAGUGUGGCUCACCGAACCGCAGCUCUGCCCCCGGUCCUGAUCCGCCCACGGCCCACCGGGGACCGCCGGCUCUCCUACUGCGCCUUCUGCAAGACCCGGCUUAAUUUAAUUAACGCUGUCAACUUUAAACAAAACCACAUCUGAGGCGCGGAGGGAGGGGGCGCCGGCGAGGCAGGAAGUAGCCGCUCAGAGACGGGCGGCGGCGGAUCGCCGAGGACGGCCGCUCUGGGUCAGACGGAAACGUUUCCUCCAGAACAGAAAGGAAACAAAAACAAAAAGAUUACAGAGUCCACAGUACAUAACCUGCUGAAAUUAAAACGCUUAUUUAUUUUGGUACAAAAACAAACAAAAAAUUUACUUAAGAACUAUUGUUGUAGAGGUGUUCAAAAUGAGGCGCACGGGCCAUUUGUGACCCUCAGAGUGAUUUUGUUUGGCCCCCAAAUGCAACUCAAGUAAACUUUUAAUUUUUAA